rnacentral:misc_RNA from 1 species
UCAAUCUCAAGCCUAGCUUGGUAUUGGGUUUUCGUCUCUACCCUGUCUGGGGUAGUGACGUGCCUGAAAGUCAAUGGCGGUGCCUCAAUAGACUCAAGCGUAGCAGACUAACUCUCGCUUUGGAGAACUUUUGUGGGUACUGCCAAACAAAACAAUCAAA